rnacentral:rRNA from 1 species
GACGAACGCUGGCGGCGUGCCUAAUACAUGCAAGUCGAACGCAGUGGGGACGGGUGAUUAACACGUGGGUAACCUCCCAUCAGAGGGGAUAACACUUGGAAACAGGUGCUAAACCGCUACUGAUGGAUGAACCCGCUGUGCAUUAGCUAGUUGGUGAGGUAACGGCUCACCAAGGCCACGAUGCAUAGCCGGUCUGAGAGGAUGAGCGGCCACACUGGAACUGAGACACGGCCCAGACUCCUACGGGAGGCAGCAGUAGGGAAUAUUGGGCAAUGGACGAAAGUCUGAUGGAGCAACGCCGCGUGAAUGAAGAAGGUUUUCGGAUCGUAAAGCACUGUUGUUAGAGAAGCGGUAUCUAACGAGGAAGCCACGGCUAACUACGUGCCAGCAGCCGCGGUAAUUC